CUGAAAUGUCAUUAUGCAGUAGACUUGGCACGGCCACAGAGAAGUUUCCCUCACCCUGGGAUAAAGAGCUGUGUCGGUUAACCUCAAUCCACAAAGGAGUUCCUUACUCGGCGUCAAUAAAGCUGUUCAAAAGGUCUGGCUUACAAGAUCAACAGAUCCUAUGAGAGGAUUAAUGAUAACGUGGGAUCUAAGACUGUGCUCAGUUAUGUCUGUCUAUCCAACAAGAGAAAGGAAGAAAACCGUUACAGAAUCACCCACCAAAACAGGACCAAGCAGUGUGGUGACAGGCAGCGGCAGGAGGAGCAGCGCAAUCAGGACUAUUGGACUUGGGAGGAGAUACUGGAUGGAGAUGGACCCUGGACGCAGCCGGGGGAAUAUCGCCACCCCAAGGCAGAGCUGGAGGCAGCCAAAGCGGAGAGGCGGCGGUUUGAAGAGGCAGCACGGCAGCAGAGAGUCAGCCCCAAAAAUGUAUUGGGGGGGGCACACAGGGAGUAUGCCGAAGCCAGGUAGGAGACCUGCGCUAACUUCCUGUGCUUACCGGAGAGCGAGAGGGAUCGGGCAGGCACCGUGUUAUGCUGUGGAGCGCACGGUGUCUCCAGUGCGGGUGCAUAGCCCGGUGCGGUACAUACCAGUUCCUCGUAUCGGCCAGGCUAGAGUGGGCAUCGAGCCAGGUAAGGUUGGGCAGGCUCAGUGCUCAAAAGCUCCAGUGCACCUGCACGGUCCGGUCUAUUCAGUGCCACCUACACG
rnacentral:lncRNA from 13 species